ensembl:lncRNA
AUGAUAAAUAAAUUGGAGCAGUUUCAAUACGGACCUCGCAAUGCUUGGGCCCUAAUUACCUUUGGGUGGAGCUGCAGUAGAGUUGGAGGUAGGAGCUGUAGUGGAGUCGAAGGGCGGAUCGGAGGUGGGAGGGGUAGGGGUGUUGGAGGUAGGGGCCGUAGUGGAGUCGAAGGGAGGAUCGAAGGUAGGAUCGGUAGUGGUGUUGGAGGUAGAAGCUGUAGUGGAGGCGGAGGUAGGAGCUGUAGUGGAGUCGAAGGGAGGAGCGAAGGUAGGAUCUGCAGUGGUGUUGGAGGUAGGAGCUGUAGUGGUGUUGGAGGUAGGAGUUGUAGUGGAGUCGAAGGGAGGAUCGAAGGUAGGAUCUGCAGUGGUGUUGGAGGUAGGAGUUGUAGUGGAGUCGAAGGCAGGAUCGAAGGUAGGAUCUGCAGUGUUAAUGCGAGAUGCUGGUGGAUGGACUGUAGUUGUAGUAGUUGGUGGUGUAAAUGACGUUGAAGUUCGUGCUGUUGUAGUUGUAACCAGUGCUGGUGAAGAUGAUGAUGUAGUUGGUGCUGGUGUAGGCGGUGUUGUAGUUGUAGUCAUUGUUGUAGUCAGUGCUGGUGUAGGUGGUAUUGUAAUAGGUAAGGAGAUAAUUGAUGUGGUAGUUGUAGUAUUUGUAGCCAGUCCAGAUGGAGCGAUUCCAGUUUGAGCUGUGGAAUUAAAGAAACAUUUGAUAUCAACAAUCAGAUCAUCUGUACUGUUGAAUUAUCAUUCCUGAUGGUGCAGUGCUUCUCAGAGUCUCUCAAAGUGAUUGUAAUUAAUGAAAUCAAUGGUGGAUCUAAUUUUGUAUUGAAAACAGUCAAAAUCUGACACAGAUUGCAGUAGCUGAUGUGAAUGUUACCUGUGGUUAAACAGCUGAUUGUGGCGAGUAGACAGCCGAUGAGAAGAACAGCAGGAGGCAUCCUACAGAUUUAGUGUUUGUCAGACCUCUGCUAGUGAUGUUUUCGCUGUGCUCCUCCAGAUCUUUUUCUUUUAACCCAUCGUGUGUCUGUCCUGCCUCCUGACAACACACUUGUGUCAAAGUCAAAUAAAUCAAAAUCUGAUUCUUAUGUACA